rnacentral:rRNA from 1 species
UUAACAAAAACAUCUCUUACAGAUUCCAAUUGUAAGUAAAAUCUGCUCAAUGAUUUUAAAUAGCCGCAAAUUUAUUUGUGCUAAGGUAGCAUAAUCACUCGUCUUUCAAUUGAAGACUAGAAUGAAAGAUUUAACAUUUCAAUAAUUUUCUUAUAUUUACCUUAUUAAAAUUAUUUUAAAUGUAAAAAAACAUUUAUAAAUUAGAAAGACGACAAGACCCUAUCGAACUUAACUAAAGUUUAAGCUGGGGCAGCUAAUUAAUUAUUAUUUUAAUUAAAACAUAAUCAACAAAAGACCCGAUUCAAUCGAUCAUCUGACCAAGUUACCGUAGGGAUAACAGCGUUAUCAUUCUUUAAAGCUCUUAUUAAAAGAACACGAUUGCGACCUCGAUGUUGAACUAACUUAACUUUACUACGCAGUAGUAGUAUUAUGUUAGUCUGUUCGACUAUUAAAAAGUUACGUGAUCUGAGUUCAGACCGGG